AUACGGAGGGUGCAAGCGUUAUUCGGAAUCACUGGGCGUAAAGGACGCGUAGGCGGGUUGGCAAGUCAGAUGUGAAAUCCUACAGCUUAACUGUAGAACUGCAUUUGAAACUGCUAACCUAGAGUAUGGGAGGGGGAGAUGGAAUUAGUGGUGUAGGGGUAAAAUCCGUAGAUAUCACUAGGGAUACCGAGAGCGAAGGCGAUCUCCUGGAACAUAACUGACGCUAAGGCGUGAAAGCGUGGGGAGCAUACAGGAUUAGAAACCCCAGUAGUCC
rnacentral:rRNA from 1 species